rnacentral:rRNA from 1 species
GAUAAACGCUAGCGGCAGGCUUAACACAUGCAAGUCGAGGGGCAGCAUAGAUUGUAGCAAUACAAUUGGUGGCGACCGGCGCACGGGUGCGUAACGCGUAUGCAACCUACCCGUCACAGGGGGAUAAUCCGGAGAAAUCUGGUCUAAUACCCCAUAACAUAUGGAUCGGCAUCGGUUCAUGUUGAAAUAUUCGGAGGUGACGGAUGGGGAUGCGUAGCAUUAGCUUGUUGGUGAGGGAACGGCUCACAAAGGCGACGAUGCUUAGGGGGACUGAGAGGUUUUCCCCCCACACUGGUACUGGGACACGGACCGGACUCCUACGGGAGGCAGCAGUGAGGAAUAUUGGUCAAUGGGCGCAAGCCUGAACCAGCCAUGCCGCGUGCAGGAUGACGGCUCUAUGAGUUGUAAACUGCUUUUGUACGAGGGUAAAGUGGGUUACGUGUAACCUUUUGAAAGUAUCAUACGAAUAAGGAUCGGCUAACUCCGUGCCAGCCGCCGCGGUAA